GGCUUAGAGUUUGAUCAUGGCUCAGGACGAACGCUGGCGGUAUGCCUAACACAUGCAAGUCGAACGAGGUUCUUCGGAACCUAGUGGCGAACGGGUGAGUAACACGUGAGCAACCUGCCUUACACUUUCGGAUACCUACGGGAAACUGUAGUUAAUACGGUAUAAGACCACGCUGUCGCAUGACAGAGGGGUAAAAGAUUUAUCGGUGUAAGAUGGGCUCGCGUCGCAUUAGCUAGUUGGUGGGGUAACGGCUCACCAAGGCGACGAUGCGUAGCCGACCUGAGAGGGUGAUCGGCCACACUGGGACUGAGAUACGGCCCAGACUCCUACGGGAGGCAGCAGUGGGGAAUAUUGGGCAAUGGGCGAAAGCCUUACCCAGCAAUACCGCGUGAGGGAAGGAGGUCUUCGGAUUGUAAACCUCUUUGAUCAGGGACGAAGAAAGUGACGGUACCUGAAGAACAAGCCCCGGCUAACUACGUGCCAGCAGCCGCGGUAAUACGUAGGGGGCGGGCGUUGUCCGGAAUGACUGGGCGUAAAGGGUGCGUANGCGGCUAAGCAAGUUAGAAGUGAAAUACCUAGGGCUUAACUCAGUGCUGCUUUUAAAACUGUUUGGCUGGAGUGCAGGAGAGGUUAAUGGAAUUCCUAGUGUAGCGGUGGAAUGCGUAGAUAUUAGGAGGAACACCAGAGCGAAGCGAUUAACUGGACUGUAACUGACGCUGAGGCACGAAAGUGUGGGGAGCAAACAGAUUAGAUACCCUGUAGUCCCCACUGUAAACGAUGGAUACUGGAUGUAAGAAGUAUCGACUUCCUCUGCAUCGUAGUAACANGAUAAGUAUCCCGCCUNNAGUACGGCNNNNGUUGAAACUC
rnacentral:rRNA from 1 species